AUUCCACACAGGAAGGUCACACCAUCCCCCACCAUCAUCAGGUUCGAAAUCUCGGGGAUUAUAAUAUUAUUGUUAAAGAAGAAUAUAAAGAGGAGGAUGAGGAGUAUGGAGUGAUGGAGGAGUUUUCAGGACACAAGGAUUUGAUGGAUUCCAAACAGGAAGGUCACACCAUCCCUCACCAUCAUCAGAGUGGAAACCUUGGAGAUUGUAAAGUUGAGGUUAAAGAAG